CCUACGGGUGGCAGCAGUGGGGGAUAUUGCACAAUGGGGGGAACCCUGAUGCAGCGACGCCGCGUGGGUGAAGAAGCGCUUCGGCGCGUAAAGCCCUGUCAGCAGGGAAGAUAAUGACGGUAUCUGAAGAAGAAGCACCGGCUAACUACGUGCCAGCAGCCGCGGUAAUACGUAGGGGGCAAGCGUUACCCGGAUUUACUGGGUGUAAAGGGGGCGCAGGCGGGGUUGUAAGCCAGAUGUGAAAGCCCGGGGCUUAACCCCGGGACUGCAUUUGGAACUGCGUGGCUGGAGUGCAGGAGGGGCAGGUGGAAUUCCUGGUGUAGGGGUAAAAUGCGUAGAGAUCAGGAGGAAUACCCGUGGCGAAGGCGACCUGCUGGA
rnacentral:rRNA from 1 species